rnacentral:tRNA from 1 species
UCCAGGGUAGCCUACAUGGCAUCUGCCCGGUAAGCGGAACAUUGUGGGUUCGAUUCCCAUCCCUGGAC